GAUGAAGAACGUAGCGAAAUGCGAUACGUAAUGUGAAUUGCAGAAUUCAGUGAAUCAUCGAAUUUUUGAACGCAUAUUGCACCUUAGAGUAUUCUUUGAGGUAUACCUGUUCGAGCGUCGUUUAGAACAAUAAAGCAUUGCUUUUUGAUGGACUUUGGAGCACGCAAGUUAACCAAUUUCCCAAACAUAGUGGCGUCCAGAUCUGCUUAAGCCAAUGUACAGUGAAAAUGUAUAGAGGAAAGUAGGAGUUGGGUUACGCAAGAACAAAUAACCAUACUAAAUGUUCGACCUCGAAUCAAGUAAGACUACCCGCUGAACUUAAGCAUAUCAAUAAGCGGAGGA
rnacentral:misc_RNA from 1 species